rnacentral:lncRNA from 1 species
AUGCAUAGGCUUCUCCCUUCACUGCAUUUAACCCAUUCUCCUGGUUUCCCAGACUACAGAUGCUACCAGGGAGAAGUGGAGAAGACACGGAAACUUCUCGCUGUUUUAAGAAGCUAUACUUCCAGCAUUGGAGCCAGGUGGGAAAGCAAAGCAAAAGCAAAGCAAAACAGCAACCAAAACCCACAAAGGAAUCUCUGUUGGUAGAACAGCUGAGCUGCAAAGAAGGAGGACCUCCAGACCAGAGUUGACAUGAUGUGAGUUUGGUCAGUUCACGGAUGUGAAUGUGAAGGUAAGAAUCCUCUGCAGCUGGCUAAGGAAGGCCAGUUUCAAUGCAGGAAAACCAAGAAUGAGUAGUGGACAGUGGAGAAACAGGAGAAGAGAGGAAAGCUAGACAUAAAAUGACAAGGAACAGAAAACACAGCAAACUUUAGUGUGGGGGGUGACCCCUGUGACACUGCUGAGUCCCCGUGAUCACAUCUCCCUGUAUUUGCCUUUAUGUAGUCCUCUGUCUUUGAACUGGAACAGGGACUGUGACUUAUUCAGUCUAGAAGUGGCAGAGUGAUGCUGUACUACUUCCUGUAUCUAUACGGGAAGCCUGAGAAGUUCUGCUUCUGGGCUCUGAGCCCUGAUCUGCUCUAUAGAGGACUCUGUGACCCUGCUGGAGCUAUGUGGAGAGGCCAUGGGAGGAAAGCCUAGCCAAUCCCAGACCCCACCAGCCGAGUACAUCCAUAUGAGUAACCAUUGAGUAGAAAAUCAGAAGAGCCACCCAGCUAAGCCCAGCCCAGAUUGCAGAAUUGUGAGCAAACAAAAUGUCCUUUGUUUUAACCCAGGAAUUUUGGGGGACUUUUGCUCUAUCACAAAACAUGACUGUUCGUAUGAUAACGAAGGAGAAGCAACAAGUCUCGAGGCCCAGGGGCUCUGCCCUCUGAGACCAUUGGUGUGGAGUGAAGAUGCAGGCCUGGGACCAUGGCAAGCUCAGUCAUAGCCUCACUUUUUACCUUUUGCUCUGUGGCCUGGGGCAAGUUAUUUAGUCUCUUGGGCCUGAGUUCCGUUAUCUGUAAAAUGAGAAAAAUAUUUCUUCCCUAACCAAAGAGUUAAGAAAUGAAAUGAGUGAGAGUUUGGGACACAUAUUUAGUACCCAUCAAACAUGAGUUUGUUCUGUUCCAUUUUUCCUUAGAGUUCCCUCCCUUACCCCUGCAGGGGU